rnacentral:misc_RNA from 1 species
GGAUGAUGCUGAUUACGAGAAUCGUACACGUGGAAACCGGGUGCAGGGUAUUGGAUCUUCCGGAGAAGAAUCAGGGUCUGGAAACAGUGGGAGCAGUACGGGGCGUGUUGAGAGGAGGUUUAGAGUGCCGCUAUGGUGGCCUUUUGGGGGCCGGAACGAUGGAAGUGACCACGGCGGUGGGAAUGACAGCAAUUGAGAGGGCUGGUCGCAGGACAAACUGAAUAUUUUCUGGCAAAAGGAGCUCUAUUUUUGAGGUUGUCUCACAGAUUUAGAAGGAAUUUCCGCUCUGAAAAUACAUAGGAAAGUCGGUGGCUUUUAGUAGUCUUUUGUUUGUUUGUUAUUAUUUGUUUUUUAAUAUUAGAAUUUUGUUUCACAAUGGC